GCAGUGGUGGUUCAGUGGUAGGGUUCUCGCCUCACACGCGGGAGACCCGGGUUCAAUUCCCGGUCAAAGCA
rfam:Homo sapiens chromosome 1, GRCh38 reference primary assembly.